UGAUGAGGUUCAGUCCGAUGCAGUCGACCGCCGAUCGGCACUGCAACCGAAUACAGCAACUCUCGUUCACGAUAUUUUCGGUGUCAAGGUGUACCAGAAGCCGUGCUAUUAUCAUCAACCUGGCCUUCGUUUUGCGGUGAAACGUUAAUUCAUUCAUAGCACGCACCGCAAGGGCAAUAACCUGGCCAACCAUAAUUGCCAUCGAAAAAUCAGUUCUAGAUCGAUUACUCACAAUCGUUACGCUUAAAUAGCUUGUUACAAUACGCGGGUCGUUCAAACAGAUUCGAUCGGUUUGAUUAAAUCAACAGGAAAGAAACGAGCAAUUUAAAUAGGAUUAGUAAGCAAUUUUCUUGAUUUAUUUGUAAAUUUUGGAGUGUAUUUCGAGUAAAACUGAGUAUGAAACAUAUACGUAAGGAGAAUGAAGAUUAGAGGAAAAGUAUAGGAAGAAAUUUAUAGUUCUAUCUAAGGAAAGAGAGAUGACUUUAAAAUCAUUGGAACGUGUCUACUUUAGAAGUGAACACAUAAAACAAGACUAUUUAAUUUUAUCUAAUAAGAUCCCUCUCCAAUCGUUUUAUUUCCAUCGUUCCGAAGCUAUAGCUGGAAACAUUAGAUAUAUACGAGGCUCGUAAGAACAGCGUAAUGAGCCUAUUUUAAUCUUCCGAUUUUAAUGUCGUUAUUAUUAAUUGACAGCAGGUUGGGAAGUAGAACAACCUGUUGGACGCAAAGACUAUAAAAUACCAAGCAUUAAGUUCAGGAAACUGCGUAAAAAAACAAUCAAAAGCGUUUCAAAUUAACGAUCUUUAAUACGCAGCUAAGCACGUUAUAGUUAAUUGGAAUUGAAACAAUAUGACCAAAAUACAUCAUCUAUAUCAGAAUAUGUAAUUAAUGGCUCAAUAAAAGUACACAUUAAAUUACCGAAUUCAUUUACAUGUUUUUAAUAAGUACAAAGAUAGAGAAACUGAUAUUAAUAGUUUUAAUUGCUUUGGUAGUUCGAAUAUCGACGACUAUGAAUAUAUUCUCGACAUAUUCGAGAAACAGACAGUCCAAAAUACAUAGUUGAUCCAAAAACUAAACAGAGAACAGUUUUAGUAAUACAAAAUUCUUCGAAAUCAUAUCAAAUUUUAAUAUAUUAUAUCUAUGAAAUGCUGGGAAAUGUAAUUUAUCAUUCUACUGCGAUCUCCGUAUGUAAAUUAGUUUAGUUUAACUUAUUAAAUUGCAUUAAUGCGCUAUUGAUAGAACAAACGAUAGUUUAAAAUCUCAUUAAAUUUUUUUCUCUUCGCACAUUUAAUCGAUUGUUUUAACUAAUCAUAACGCAAUCAUAUUUGAUCUCUAAAUGCCGAUGCGUAAUUGAUUUUCAGACAUUUGUUCUUCGUAUUUUGCAUAUAUCAAAGAUCGAAUAUACUAAUUAAACUGUGCGCGAUGUUAAAAUCACCGUCGCGUCACGACGCGGAGAGAAAAUGCUGAAAGUCAUACGCGAUACGAUACGGGGAGCAAACUAAAUAUAAAUGUGCUCGUUACUAGAUAUGGGUGUUUAAUUUCAGAACAAAUAAAUUUAUCUACUAUACUACGUAUCUUUUUCGAUAUACCGAGAUAAAUCGAUGAAUGCCAAUGUAAAUGAGCGAAACGUGGCGCUUCACGAUAAUAUCCGCCAAUAUUAUUAUAACGAGUAUUUCACUUCUACAAUUUUCAUUUAAAGAGACACCCUGCAGUCUAUUAAGCGUAAAAUAUCGCGAUACUAAAAUCCCGGAUCAAAACACGACUUACAUGUCUUUGGAUAAAUCGUUGGUAUUUAAGGCGAAAGAUUAAAUUGAUUAAUUUAAUUAAGAAAAAAACAAAAGAGCUAUUCACCAUAGAGUGGCCAUUCAUUUGUUCUGUCGGUGUUUUCGACUCGAAAGUCGUCGAUACUUCUUCCGUAUGCGUCAUAAUCAUGCUCCUUGCUUAAAUCGUAUUGAAUCAGAUCGAAAGCACCUCGUUAUACUUCAAUGAAGAUUCUUCCAGCACUUUCCAGUCGGUUUCGUGCAUCUUUGUCCUCACAUUUUCGAAAAAACAACGUUUCGUUUCUUAAAUAUAUUCGAUGUUAUCGAAAAAGGUAGGAUUAUUUACUUUGUACGGCGCCAAUUAAUAAUUGUUUUCGAGUCGAAUCGAUCUAUAUCUCAAGUUAAUCAGAAAACAGCAAACAGUCAAUCCGUAAUAAAUAACAUUACUCUCGUAUCGUCAAGAAAAUGUACUUUUUGUUGCCUAUUGGUUAUCGUCUUCGGCAAUACAGCCGACAAAGUUCAGUUUCAGAAACGUGUAAAAAUCACAAUUCUAUUCAUUUCGUUCACAGUCCAUCAAAACAUACGACUUAUACGUCGCACACUGUCUUUUCUAACGUUGAGAAAUUUUUUUGUGUAGCCUUAACCCCUCGACUGCUUCGAAUUUUGUAAUUUUUUUCAAUAAACGUCUCUUCAGAAAAAUUCUAAAAAAUCGAUAUCUUUCUUCGAUGCACGAUUUUAUUUUAUUUUCCACCUGUUUUCUGCAUACGUUAUAUCGUACGUAUUUCCUUGAAACACAAGUAUUAAUAGAGAGCGACAAGAUUUUACGUUACGGCGUUCUUCUCCCUAGGUCAGAGAGGAAAUGACUUUUCAAACUCUUUUUAAAGUUUCUUCACCACCACAGAUAACAAAAGAGCAAACAUAAAAUCCCAUCAAACGCAAAAUCGUCGUACAAUUUUAAACAUCUUCGUCCUAUUAAUUUCCCGUUCGUUAAUUCACACAAACUGUGCCCUCCGUCCCGAUAAAAGCAACAACAACAAAAACUCGAUAAAAAUUUCACUCGACCUCGUCUCUUCCUCUUCGCAUUCUCGACGACCGAACGUCUCUCGAUAUUUCUCCUUGAAAAUACGAUAUUUCGAUGCAAUGCUCCACUGUCGACGAGAAAAUCUCUACUGUCUCUUCCUUUUUUAAAAUGCUGUUCGACUGUAAAUCACGAAUUUUCUGCUAAAUUCAAGGCACAGCGUGGAAGAAAAGUUCACGAAGAGUAUCCCUCCUUAACGGGACCACCAUGAUUCGUUUCUCGUGACGGAUAAAAGACUUUGUAGUUUUUAGGAAAUCGCAGGUUUUGACGGUGCAAUUUGUUCGACUGUUAACGAGACACUUGGCCCGAUCGAUCUAUGGCAUGCGGCUGAAUGAACGUGCAGUCGAGUUACGAUUUUUCGGAAAACGAAGGUGCAGCAGAGCAAAGACAGAAAAGGAGCCGGCACGACCGGCCGGCUUACACACACUGACUUCUGACUGGUCGAGCUAGUAGGUGACUCCAGGGACCCCUUCCAUAACGCAUAGCAACUGCUCGUAAGACGACUGAUAAGUUCUUGCAUUCUGCUAGAAUCGACAGAUCGUCCUGACGGCUGCCGCGAUCCAAUCCGCAGGAUUUCCUCGAUAGUAGCGAAGUAUGCGAUUUGUUUUUCGAGGAAAACUCAACGUCAGAAGUGAAACGUCAACGAGCUGAUUUUUGACGCGUGGCGCCACGACUUUCCGUAGAAAGUUGAUCGAAGAAAAAAGAAGGACUCGUGCGAACCAACAUCGACUUUCCGAUGUGAUACGAUCAAUGGGUCUUGCUUUGGCGAAUUGCUUUAUUCGUUGUAUAGAACGAUGACAGGAGAAGGACACGAUUGGUACAUUUUUGUUGAUUUUCUAAUUUUGUGCGCGAAGAAUGGUACUUUAAUACGAUGUAGCUGAGAAGCUGUUAAAUCCAAAAAUGUAAGAUUGAAAAUAAUUCUUGAAUUUUAAUAUCUAAUAUUAUCGUAGGCAAUAGUUUGAAAUUUAUGAAAACGGAAAACACGAUCUCUUCCGUGAAAAAUAGAAACUAUGACUAAUGUUCUUCUCCUAUAGUUUUCAUAUAGACGGCGAAUUUUUAUAUAUUUGUAGGAAAAUAUAUAUAAUAGUAAUAAUACAACAAUACAUGUAAUAUCCAGAGCAGAGUACUUGGUAUAAUACCUAGUGGUUGAAACAAAUUUUUCCUUACAAUUGUGUUCAUAAUUUGCAUAAAUAUUCGCAGUAUACUUAUUUGUUUCUCUGUUUGGAUUCGUAAAAGUAUCGUUUUAAUUGAAAAUUUCAGGUGAGAUAUAUUUGUACGUUUAAAAAAUUAUGGGAUAAUCGUGAACUUAAAUUUCAGUGUAAAUCAUAUCGUGUUAGUAAAGAAUUUGUUAAUUGACGAUGAUUAACUGAUGUAUAUCACAUGGAAUACUACAAACACACGUACAUAUAAUGUACGAGACCCUUCUUAUUUGUGUAUCUAGGAUAAAGAUAAACAGAUCUUGUAAUUAUAAAAUUAAGUUGACACUUGUCAAUUACGUAUAAGGAAAAAUAAGUUAUAUCAUGUUUCAAUGAUAAAUAAAUAAUAACUAGAGAGACACUACUCACGAAGCUAUCUGACGACUUGUGAACGAGAAUGUAAAUAUUUGCAUGUACGAUAAUGCGAUAUACGAUAAUUAUAAGUGAUAUCUUAAUUACAUCGUGAAUGAUGAUAUUUCCAAUAUUUGUUUCAGUAUUGUAAUAUGUUUUAUAUUAUUUUCCGCGUCCUCUUUUAUUCUUUUAGUUUUGUACACUUUCCACUGGACUAUUUUGUACAUUGAAUAUUAUAUUUUGAUUUUGAUUUUGAGUUCCGAAAUCAGUAAAAGAUGAUCCUACUUUAAGAAGAAUUUUUGUUUUUUUUUAAAUAAUUACUGAAAAUAAAUAGGAUAAAAUUUAAUCUGCAUAACAUUCGACAAAAUUAAUAACAUUGAAACAUUAAUAAAAAUUAAUAAUAUUGUCUUUGCUUUGAUCGAUGGCUUCCUUAGAUAUGAUAUGACUAUCGUGAGUAAGUAACGUGAUACCAGUUCGUUGAAUGAAGUACUCGUUCGUUAAUUGCGAAUUAGUCUCUUAUCUCUAUAUCACAACCAAGCAAUUAUUAACAGAAAGUAAAAAAAAUUUACAUAGUAGCACUCCACUUUCCAUCAAAUUCGUUAAAAAAUUUAUGUCGGUUGUUAUGUUGAUAAAUACUUGCAUUGAAAAUUGCAUUGAUUUAAUUGUUGACAACUGUUAUGUUGACAAAUAAUUGCAUUGAAAAAUGUUUUAAGCUAUUGAUAACGUCAAUAUUCAAUGUAAAGCACAGAUUACACGAAUUACGUACUUUCUACUGACGUUAAAAUUGAGUCAGCAAUUUUUUCGAUCAUCUUUCAUGCGACAUGAUUAUGUAAAUGAUGAACUCCCUCGAUACUAGUUUGUUACAAAACGCCUGGUUUCUCGUGCUACUUGCUGCCGCGCUCGCGAAAACCAAUUCCAAGCGAAGUAAAAUAAACGUUCGUCAUCAAAGAGGGAACACCCGUAAGGUUCAUUCAUACUCUUCGAGCGCAGGUUUCUAUAUUUAACCAUUCCCAUAAGUUUCUGAUAAAUUCUCAACAGUGGCGAUACGUGCUGAAACGUGACUUUCACCAUGAGUUGUAGUUCUCAGUUACCAGACUAUUGUUUGUUAUUCGUCGCAUUGUCUGAAUCGCUAAUGAAGCAACUAAAAUGCCCAACCUAGAAAUUUUCCAUAUGCAAAUCGUACUACAAUUUUACUAAUUACUUAUGUGUGGUGUGCGAAUAUUUACGCAAAUUCGUGCUUUUAUGAAUUAAUUUAAAGAAUGGAAUCUGUGGACAGAAGUUCGUUUUACUUGCCAAAUAUCGAAUGUUACGAAAUACGCUUCCCAUAAAUACAUAAAAAUCCGCUAUCCACUUACGCGUUUUAUAUCGUAUUUAUAUUUAUAACAAUGUGAGAGUAAACGAUGGAACUUUAAUAUGAGAAUGUCAAUGCGUGAAUCAUUCUAAUUGCAAGACAUAAAAAUAAUUAAUGUGCAAAUUGAAACGUGUCGUAUUGGCUCUGUCGUCUAGAGGAUAAUAUAGCUAAUCUGGAAUCGAAGAUACUCAAUGCCCGAAAGUUAUGUUCAUCGGAUUGCGAAUAAUUAUAUAGAAUGCGUCAUACAACACGUUGCAAUUAAAGUUACGAGACUUAAAAUUCUUGAAAGUGAGAUUAUAUUGGAUAAUGUCCAAAUACAGGCACGAUCAGAUACAUGUAAAACGGAAGAAGAUAUUAAACGACCAAAAUUAAAUAUUUUAUUACUAAAAAAAAAAUAGAAUUGAAACUUCCAAGAUUAUCGAAUCGAAGCGCUGAUUGUGAAUUUGAGAAAUUCCUGUUAUUAAUUUGAAACUACGAACUUUUACUUCCGUUUAUUUUGUUAUGUAUUGUCAUAUAUAAAAAGAAAUUAGUAUUUAACAGAUACGAAUAUAUGAAUAUUUUCCUAAAAGUGAUUUAAAUGACAGGAUGUUUAAUUCGAGAGAAUCAUGAACAGAGAUGAACUUUAAUGGAAUACCAAGUUUUUCAGGACAGA